UACGAAGGGGGCUAGCGUUGUUCGGAAUUACUGGGCGUAAAGCGCGCGCAGGCGGUUCUCCAAGUCAGUGGUGAAAGCCCGGAGCUCAACUCCGGAACUGCCAUUGAAACUGUUGAACUUGAGGACGAGAGAGGUGAGUGGAAUUCCCAGUGUAGAGGUGAAAUUCGUAGAUAUUGGGAAGAACACCGGUGGCGAAGGCGGCUCACUGGCUCGUAUCUGACGCUCAGGC
rnacentral:rRNA from 1 species